UAUUUUUUUAAAUCUGUGUGUAUUUUUGUUCAGGUGCUAACAAUGAUGGCCUGACCAUAGAAAAUGAGGCGUAACCACAGUAAGAAGUGACAUCUCCAAUCCAGGUCUCCUCAUUGUUCGUGCCUAUCAGGACGUGACAUGGCGCUGAUGUCAUCAUCAUCAUCAUCAUCAUCAUCGUCGGUUGUUUACGUUAUUGCACUGAGUUUUCCACGACUGACACCACAUGCGUAGCUUAGCGCAUCAGCAAAUGUAGCUACAGUAUGUCUGCCAAACAUUUGCACAUGGAGUAAAUAAAUUAGUGAUGGUGUUAAUGUGGUGUAAAUGACAUUCCUUCAGUAUUUGCUUUUUCUUUCUUUUUUUUUCCAUUUUGUUUUGUUGUGUUGUGGAAGGUCAAAUGAUGCAUGCUCUCAUCUCAGGAUGUCACACCUUGCUGUAGUGAACUGUACAUGACGUUCUCUCCUUUGCUUGAAAGUAUAAUAUUAGUAAUCAUGUUUUUGAAUAAGGGCUCUUCUGACUGGUUAUAGCAUGACCAUGACUCCCGCAGUGGAGGUUCAGCUCACUGGCCACCAUCAAAAAGAAACCUCGGUGUAAUGCCGAUAACGUUGAGUGUUUUUGUUAAGAAAUGUUAUGUUGUGAAUGUAAUGUAAAAAAAAAAAGUCAGUUCCACCCACUUUGUACUCUAUUUUCACCUUCUGAGGAAUUUGUCUAUUCUCGUCCAGUGCUGGAAAUGAACUGUACAUUUAUGUAAAGAACGUAUGCCUGUUUAAAAAAAAAGAAGAAAAAAAAGCUUCAUGGUGAUUGCUGGUGUCAAUUUAUAUUUUUUUAUUCUGUCUGUUGAGACAAACCUGACGUGUGAGGCCAAGUACUGUACUGUUGUGAUGCCUUAUGAGAAUAAAAAGAGCUCAUCAGUU